rnacentral:lncRNA from 1 species
AAGGAGCGUCAUAGCCUGUGGCUGCAGUCAAGUGUGUGUUUGCUGCUCCUCAUCAUCAUCUCUGUUAUGUCACAACGCGGACAGCAAGUGUUUCUGAGAGCCGACGUCGCACCUGCUGCUGUCCUGCCCUCCCUACAGGAUGCAUUGCUGCAGUUGGCCUCCGUUGUUGAUGUCAGCAGCCUUCAGACGACCAUCAAAGAUGUGCUCAGAGUUGUCCUGCCAAACGUGGUAUGAAACUGUGAAAUCUUUUGUAGCAUUAUAAAUGUCUUUAAUGUCACUUUUCAUC